rnacentral:rRNA from 2 species
ACGAGUUCCCGUUGAUUGACGUGCUUGCACUGAUUUCAACAUUGGAACGAGUGGCGAACUGGUGAGUAACACGUGGAAAACCUGCCCAGAAGCAGGGGAUAACACUUGGAAACAGGUGCUAAUACCGUAUAACAACAAAAACCGCAUGGUUUUUGUUUGAAAGGUGGCUUCGGCUAUCACUUCUGGAUGGUUCCGCGGCGCAUUAGCUUGUUGGUGGGGUAACGGCUCACCAAGGCGAUGAUGCGUAGCCGACCUGAGAGGGUAAUCGGCCACAUUGGGACUGAGACACGGCCCAGACUCCUACGGGAGGCAGCAGUAGGGAAUCUUCCACAAUGGACGCAAGUCUGAUGGAGCAAUGCCGCGUGAGUGAAGAAGGGUUUCGGCUCGUAAAACUCUGUUGUUGAAGAAGAACGGGUGUCAGAGUAACUGUUGACAUCGUGACGGUAUUCAACCAGAAAGCCACGGCUAACUACGUGCCAGCAGCCGCGGUAAUACGUAGGUGGCAAGCGUUGUCCGGAUUUAUUGGGCGUAAAGCGAGCGCAGGCGGUUUCUUAAGUCUGAUGUGAAAGCCUUCGGCUUAACCGAAGAAGUGCAUCGGAAACUGGGGAACUUGAGUGCAGAAGAGGACAGUGGAACUCCAUGUGUAGCGGUGGAAUGCGUAGAUAUAUGGAAGAACACCAGUGGCGAAGGCGGCUGUCUAGUCUGCAACUGACGCUGAGGCUCGAAAGCAUGGGUAGCGAACAGGAUUAGAUACCCUGGUAGUCCAUGCCGUAAACGAUGAGUGCUAGGUGUUGGGAGGGUUUCCGCCCUUCAGUGCCGCAGCUAACGCAUUAAGCACUCCGCCUGGGGAGUACGACCGCAAGGUU